rnacentral:miRNA from 1 species
CCAUGAUCAUGAUCAUGAUCAUGACCAUGACCAUGACCAUGACCAUGACCAUGAUCAUGAUCAUGGUCAUGGUCAUGAUGAUCAUGGUCAUGC